UCUCUUUCUCUCCCUCUCUCCCUCUCUCCCUCUCCUCUAUAUCUCUCUCUAUCUCUCUCUCCCCCUCUCUCCAGACAAGCCGUCAGAGUCUGCAGAGCGCCUGCUCCAGGAGCGGUUCAGGAAGCUGGGUCUUUUUCCCGAGGCCUUCAGCUCAAUCCAGUACCGUGGGACUCGAACCUACAACCCCCCGACAGAUUUCAGUGGUCUGCUGCGGAGUCUGGAGCAACAGCUAGACAACAACACCACCCGCUCACCACGCUCCGCCAGCGUCAUAUACAGGGCCUUACAGGCCCUGAGUGAGCGUUUCAGCGGAGAUAUCCCAGAAGAGCACCUGGCCAGUAACUCUUUCUUCCCUGAUGAGUACUUCACCUGCUCCAGUAUCUGUCUCAGCUGUGGGUCUGGCUGUAAGAACAG